ensembl:lncRNA
AUAUGGAAUAUUGAUUGAGUUAAUCAGCUGUUAAUAGAAGGAAGACGUGCACAGAAUAACUGAUUAAGAUCAAGAUAUUAUGUUGGUAAACAACACUUACAUUCUGUCCGCAUCGGCAAAUUCAAACAUGAAUACACGCAUCACGUUGACAAAUGUCCCGAUAACAGGAAGUGUGCGGGAUAAUCAUCUAAAAAUAGGCCUAGGGAUAAAUGGAAGAAACUCCUAAAAAACUAAUUUGCACACAUCAUCCAACAAAGCCAUGGAUAAUGGUUGGAGAGUUGCACGUUGCCAGGCCUGGUCCCAGUGCAUGUAUUGCUAAGCGGCGUGAUGGCUCAGUACCCAUCGAGCUGCACAAAGGGAUUAGAACCCCCAUCCCCCUUGUGUCGAUGACGGAAUAAACAUGCUGUCUGUGGUGUUUAUCCGGCGCACUAUCGUGACUAUUUCAGUGUUUCAUCAAAGACACGUUAAUUAUUUGGGAGGUGGAGAAACAUCAACAAGCAAAUCCACCCCCUCAAGGUUCUGGAUAGCUCCCCCGUGGAGGGUUAGUCAAUAGAUGCACGCAGUAAUUAAGAUAAUAACGUUAAAAAACACACAAGGAAAUAUCAUGCCAUCGCUCUCUCCCAUCUUUCCAGUCACCAACGGUCUCGUAAUUAUGAUGAUGCUUUGAUUGGCUUUAAUUAGCACCGUGAGUUAAGGGUAUGGCUAAGAGCGGUGGGAUUCAAUGGGCUUCAUAACGAUUACUGGAUCCAGGAGGCAUCUGUCUGUCUGAUGAACAACCUCAAAGCACAGCGACAUAAUUAACCGUAAACGUGACAUGAAUCAUCCGCUCGGAUCCGCUUGAAGUAAAAUUGAAAGUUUGAAACAUGGAUUGAUGAGCGGAAGAGGGCGGUAAGGGGAAAUGGAGAAUGAGAAGGAGAUACAGGCCUUCCAUAGGCGAAGGAGACGAGGAGAGGCUGGUAAAUCAAUGCAGAAGAGUUAUUGUAGGUCUAUGGAGUGGAACAGAGACCUUUCAUAUCCGAUAAGCCUGCGCUUCGGUCGUCACCACGGCAACCACGUGGUCUGGAGUCUUGAGUCUAUCGCAUGAGGAAUACAAAGUGAAUUGAUUUGAUUGAAUGUUGUCUCCGGUUAUUUCCUUAUUAAUUAUUCAGCAGCUGAAUCUGUGAGCUGAAUAUAUUUGUACGAAGAGACAUGCCUGUUGCGGGUUGAGAAAGAGGUCUUCAGGCCUCGACUGGAAGCUAUUGAGUAACUUUAGACCUUUUUUUAACCUAUUUAAUUCAUGGCAUCUUCUUGAAUAACCCUCCAUUGGAUUUCCACUUUUAAUGAAAGUGGAUAAAAUGAAGGAUGGGCUUCAGUAGUGAUCACUGCCUGUCAUGAACAGAGAAGUAAUUCUGUAUUCUGAAAUGUGAAAAGGUUCCCUGAACAAAAGCCUCACCCAACAUGGUAACAAGUUGUUUCCUGUGUGGACAGGAAAGACAUGUCACUCAACCAAAACAAUGAAGGACUGACAACAAUGAAUCAUCUUUAGAAAUCCUAAGAAAGAGGGGAAAAUAAAUAACUGCUCCAGCCCCAUCGUUCCAAAUACUUUGAAUACUAAUUAUUAAUUUCAGAUGACAAUGAAGUGCUUUGUUUUGCUGAUAAUGCGGUGGGGUGGUGGGGUGUAAUCCCGUGGUCGUGGGUGAACUAGACUCAAAGAAAAGGGAGCCUAGAUGACUUCCCUCAGAGCCUUGAACCAAAGCACUUUCAGAGAGUAGCAUUCUUACAAACGUUCUGAUAUGUUAAAUACAAAUAUUACAUUUUCUGAAUACGUGUCACUGACUCAUUGCCAGAUAGAAAUACAAACACUGACAAUUUAUUAUGACUAUUAAAGGGGAACUAUGCUACUUUUUUGGAUUAUUUUACCUUUAUAUAACAGGGUAAGAGUCAUUGUAAUGCUUCUAUAACACUUUAUGGGUCGAUUGGUCGCUAUUUCGACUCCCCCUAGCACAUCUUGGCGGAAAAAGGGAAUAUGCAAGUUUCUGCCAGCGACCCGCUGCCCACUGUCGCGGGAUUCUCGGGUCUCACGAUGCACCAAAUUGCUUUAUGGCAAUACAGACCCACAAACACGGAACCGGCUCGAUAUAAACGAUAUAAAGUGGCGAAGGGAUUUUUACAUUCAUCAUGGAUCAGCCGACUAAAAAGAGACAGAGAAACCCAAUGUCGGAGAAACAGAAGAAGAGAAAAGGGACACUGACCGGCAGAGAGGCCAGACACGAGUAAACGUUGGCCGAGCUUCUCAAGAAUAGCGUGAACUGAAAGAAAAAGACUGCAAAUCGGAUGCCAUGUUGCAACUUGCCAUGGCCGUGUUGCUCUUGAAAUUGUACGUACCCUUGGGUGAACUUUGUCCUCUUUGUAUUGUGGCUUCUUGAUGUUGAUAGUCUCUGUAAAAAUGUGUUUGCUCGACCGUUUUAUUGUGAGCCCUGUAUGUGUUCUAGCUAGCUGGGUUGUUAGCAUACUCGCUACCAAACAAGUUUGUUUUCAUGUUUUGUUUUGCUGUUCGUCUGUCUCGCCCCCUCGUCACCCAGAUACAGGCUCAAUCCCCGAAUCCAGGUUCUUAUUUAUUUAGAUCACUAGUCCACUAUUCGAAUGCUUCAGAUUUUUCUAAGAGUGCAUAGCCUAUCAUGUGAUAUGUCCGGCUUACCAUAUAAUGCAGUACCCUGCGCGAGAGCUGCUAGUUAGCACAUAUUCGUAGGUAACAGAACUGUUGCGAUACGUGAACCUCCAUUAUAGCUUUAGCCAUGUUAUUCCUUUGGUAUAACAUGGUUAUACCCAGUUCCCCGCUUGUAAACAUGUUUGUAACAAGAUUGCUUUGUAUUUUUUCUUAGUUACAAGCGUUGGCAAACAGCAUUGUAAUGAGGCUUGAGGCUUGAUGACCCAAGACGGCUUGCUUGCCUACCCCAGUUCAGCAACCACCCACAUCCAAACUUGUGUGGGUACAAGUGUCACGAGGAAAUCGAGAGAACCCUCAAAAAGAUGUUACACAGCCACUCAGCAGCAUCUGCCUGUGACAACUCUCCUGCGGGGACUAGCAACAGCAUACCGUCUCGAUCUCUGAAUCCAUUUCCCUGUAAUUCCGUACACAAGUGACGUACUUCAGCAGAUACAUAAAUGUACGAUUAGUGCGCAAAUUGUUCAUGCUAUCGUUAUGUAUUAUGUUAUCCAACACUCUUACAAUGAUCCUUCUGUUCAACAACCAAAGAUAAAACUAUUCUAAUCUAGGAUAUAACCUCUCCCCGUCAACUAUAAAAAAGGAUGGGUUUAUUGUAACACAUACACCAUUUCAAAAUGUAUAACCUUGUCUACGCUUUUUUUUUCUUUUUUUUCUACCUCGGACAUGGCUCAACGCAUUCGCCGGUCUGAGUACCAAAUGUGUUCGGCUGCCAGAUCCAACAUGACACGUCUUUUCCUGAGAUGGUGGUGGUGUGUUGUCCUGGUGGAAAACCUUGGGCUGGAAGGGUAUGGGAGGAAGUUCGCCCACUUUACUGAGGAAGGAAAAUCAACCCUCCGAGACAAUGUCCCACCUGUCUUCAGGAAAACGAAACUAAAAAGAACACUUUCAAGCUGCACAGUGAUGCCAUUGGACUCUGACGAGGACCAUGCUUACAAUAAGAGGCCUUACAGCUUUCCCUCUAAGGAGAUGGGCAGUGGAGUUACCAUGGACAAAGAUGUCUUCAGCUUCAAAGAAGACACAUCUCUCAUUUAACAAACCAUUAAGUCAUUUAUUGGUACAGGCUUUAAUAAUUAAAAUACUUUUGGUAUGGAGCUUUUUAUAUUCUAAGGUUUAUGCCAAUAUUUGGAGGUGAGAACAUGAUGCUACUGCAUUUAAAGUCUCUAGUGCAAUCUGCUGUCUUCACCUGUAGCCAAUAUGUAUCAUCACAAUGUUCGAGUUGUGGCUUACGACACACACAUCUUUGGAUUUAUUGGGCGCUUUUCAAUACAAUAAUAAGGGUCCAAGUACUGAUUCUCUGUUGCCACUGGUUUACUUUUAUUUCUUUUCUAGAUAGGAAUAGUCUGAAAUGUCUUAACCAUGAGAUUUUUACAAAGCUGACAAAAUUAAUAAAAACAUGCAUUUAACAGAUUUAACAGAGGCUAUGUGGCUUUCCUUAAGGAGAAGGAGAGGAGAUGCUCUUUGCGUCUGAGUUCAUGAUCCAGGUUGAUCCACAACCAGUCACAACAUUCCUAAAAGCUGUUGUGUGUUAAGCUGCACGCUCAAUAAAAGUUAUUCAAAUGUUAAAACGGUUUGUAAACCUAAGAAAAAGCUGUGAUCCCUUACGAAGGAAACGGUGGAUAAGAAGAGAGGCACCAGGAUCAGUAGCCUACAUGACAAAACUGGAGGAAAACUUUGAGACCCCUAUAUGUGUAGUAGAGGUAUUUGGGUAUGGUCGGUACCGUUUGCAGCAGGCCUAAACCAUAGGUCCAUGGUCUCAACGAGUCGCGUUUUUAAUCCAUCACUGAGACAGAAAGUGGACAUUUAAGAUGUCAAUGGGUGGAUUAUUUUUUAACACAAACAGCUCGUAUGGACAGACAAGAGUCGUGGCUUUAAACAUAGUAACGUGUAUUUGUGAAAGGCAUGUUUUAUUACGUUUUUAUUAAGUUUGUUUGCAUUCUAUACAAAGUGAAUGGAGCUCUGUUUAAAGUCAGUAACGUGUAUUUAUGAAGGCCAUGUUUUAUUACGUUUUUAUUAAGUUUGUUUGCAUUCUACGCAAAGUGAAUGGAGCGCUGUGCAAAGUGAAUGGAGCGCUGUAGCACUGUUUAUUGUUUUCCCCCAUGAUGGCCACCAUAGAACGAGCAAUGGGCGUGUUUGGCAGAGCAAUGGGCGUAUUUGGCAGAGCAAUGGGCGUGUUUGGCAGAGCAAUGGGCGUGUUUGGCAAGUGGCUCCGGCUGCAGAUAGACCUACUUGAAAAAUGCCAAUACAUUGGGAUUGGGAUUUUGUCAGACAUUCUUUUUUCUCAUUUAUUUAUAAAUCCCCAAAUAAUUUAGGCAGGAGCAUCUAUCAGUCAAAAAUGCAUCUCACAUUUACACCUUAGUCAGUUAGUUCAGUAUGGCAUUGCAUGUGGUUUUAGAAAUAUAAGUCUGAGUGUAUGACUACACCAAGAUUUCUGUCUUGGUGUGUGCUUUCUAACAUAACAGCUGUGUACUGACUUUUAAUUGUUCAUCCCUUGCACCAAAGACCAUUACUUCAGUUUUUUCAUUGUUCAAUUGAAGACAAUUUGGCACAUCCAGUGAUUGAAGUAGUUAUUUAGCUGUUGAUAAACAGCUUUUUCAAUGAUUUUGCUUAAAAAUGGUAAGUUAGAAAUGGCUUGAUGACUGUUGUUUUUUCAGAGCCUGUAGGAAUCACCUGUGUGAUAUCGCCACUGCAGGCAACAUGAAUAAAAAAAUAUAUAAUAAUAUACAAAUAUUUCAGUG